UCCCUUGUGGCUUAGAAGAUAAAGCAUCUGCCUGCAAUGUGGGAAACCCAGGUUCGAUCCCUGGGAUGGGAG
rnacentral:tRNA from 1 species